UCCCACUCCACAGCUGUCCACCCUGCCUGCCGGCACCCGACCACCAUGUGGGCACUCUUGGCUCUCUCACUGCUCAUCCUAACCUAUUUAUUUUGGUCCAAGGAAAGGCACCCUGGUGCCAAGUACCCCAAGGGCCUCCCGUUCCUGCCCCUGGUGGGUAGCCUGCCAUUCAUCCCCAGAUAUGGCCAUAUGCACGUCAACUUCUUCAAGCUGCAGAAAAAAUAUGGCCCCAUCUAUUCUCUUCGUAUGGGAACCAAGACUACAGUGAUUGUCGGCCACCACCAGCUGGCCAAGGAGGUGCUUGUUAAGAAGGGCAAGGAAUUCUCCGGGCGGCCCUACAUGACGACUCUAGCCAUCCUGUCAAACAACCAGAAGGGAAUCGCCUUUGCUGACUCUGGUGACCACUGGCAGCUGCAUCGGAAGCUGGUGCUGGCCACAUUUGCCCUUUUCAAGGAUGGCGACCAGAAGCUACAGAAGAUCAUGUGUCAGGAAAUCAGUUUAAUGUGUGAUUUGCUGGCCACCCACCAUGGACAGUCCAUAGAUUUGUCCUUGCCUCUCUUCAUGACGAUAACCAACGUAAUCUGCUUGAUCUGCUUCAACACCUCCUACAAGAAUGGGGAUCCUGUGUUGAAGACCAUACAGGAUUACAAUGAAGGCAUCCUGGAUAUUGUGGGCCUGCAAAAUCUGGUAGACAUAUUCCCCUGGUUGCAGAUUUUCCCCAACAAAGCCCUGGAGAUGUUGAAGAAUUAUGUUGAAAUGCGAAAUAAACUGCUGAAUGAUAUAUUUGAAAAAUACAAGGAGAAAUUCAGCAGUGAUUCUAUCACCAGCAUGCUGGACAUACUGAUCCAAGCCAAGAUGAACUCAGACAACAACAAUAGUGACCAAGACCAGGAUUCAAAGAUAUUUUCAGAUAAACACAUUCUUAGCACCAUAGGGGACAUCUUUGGGGCUGGUGUGGAGACCACUACCUCUGUGGUGAAGUGGAUUGUGGCCUUCCUGCUGCAUGAUCCUCAGUUGCAGAAGAAGAUCCAGAAGGAGAUUGACCAGAAUGUAGGUUUCAGCCGUACACCAACUAUCAGCGACCGGAACCACCUUGUCCUGUUGGAGGCCACCAUCCGAGAGGUGCUUCGCAUCAGGCCUGUGGCCCCUAUGCUCAUCCCCCACAAGGCUAAUGUUGACUCCAGCAUUGGUGAGUUUGCCAUUGACAAGGGCACACAUGUUAUCAUCAAUUUGUGGGCGCUGCAUCAUAACGAGAAGGAGUGGCACCAGCCGGACCAGUUCCUGCCCGAGCGCUUCUUGGACCCAACGGGGAGCCAGCUCAUCUCACCAACGUUAAGCUACUUGCCAUUUGGAGCGGGACCCCGUUCCUGCAUAGGUGAGUUCUUGGCCCGCCAGGAGCUCUUCCUCAUCAUGGCCUGGUUGCUGCAGAGGUUCGACCUGGACGUGCCAGACAACGGGCAGCUGCCUGCCCUGGAGGGCAACCCCAAAGUGGUCUUUCUGAUUGAUCCUUUCAAAGUGAAGAUCAAGGUGCGCCAGGCCUGGAGGGAAGCCCAGGCUGAGGGUAGCACAUAGAGGCCAUGCCCAACACCCCAACUCCACCCUGUGUGGCCUCACAGCACAGAAUUGGAGGUGCUAUUCCCUCCCUCCUCCGCCAUCUCUCCCUCCUCCCAGCCAACUCUGCCUUCUUUUCUAGACAGCAGCAACAGCAGUGAUUCAUUACUCAUUCAUUACUCAUUUGCUUACUCAUUCUUUCAACAGACAUUUUACUGAGCACCUACUAUGUGCCAUUCACUGCCCCAGGACAUUCAAACUCCCUGAUCUCAUGAAACUUACAUUCUAGUGAGGGCUGGCAAAUAAAAAGAAUUUCAGAGACUCAUAA